CCCCCCCCUUUCACUUUGCCACAUAAAUUCACCAUAUUUUACGUGGCCAUUAAAAGGGGAACAGGAAAGUCCUUUUAUAAACCCAGUGCCGAGGCAGGAAACCACCUCGCUCUGGAUCCUGUCUGAGGAGACAUAU
rnacentral:snoRNA from 1 species